GACGAACGCUGGCGGCGUGCCUAAUACAUGCAAGUAGAACGCUGAAGGAGGAGCUUGCUUCUCCGGAUGAGUUGCGAACGGGUGGGUAACGCGUAGGUAACCUGCCUGGUAGCGGGGGAUAACUAUUGGAAACGAUAGCUAAUACCGCAUAAGAGUAGAUGUCGCAUGACAUUUGCUUAAAAGGUGCAACUGCACCACUACCAGAUGGACCUGCGUUGUAUUAGCUAGUUGGUGAGGUAACGGCUCACCAAGGCAACGAUACAUAGCCGACCUGAGAGGGUGAUCGGCCACACUGGGACUGAGACACGGCCCAGACUCCUACGGGAGGCAGCAGUAGGGAAUCUUCGGCAAUGGACGGAAGUCUGACCGAGCAACGCCGCGUGAGUGAAGAAGGGUUUCGGAUCGUAAAGCUCUGUUGUAAGAGAAGAACGAGUGUGAGAGUGGAAAGUUCACACUGUGACGGUAUCUUACCAGAAAGGGACGGCUAACUACGUG
rnacentral:rRNA from 1 species